UUGUGUUGGUGUUCACUGCGUAAGAAGAAGUCGGUGAGUUUUUUGAAAGAGGGCAAAGAGUGAUCUCGCCGAUGGACGACGGCGAAGGCAUAUCUCAUGACGGAUGAGUUACAGAGAGAGGGGGUUUCAUUCUUCUUAGACCUGCUCUGAUGCUCACUCGCGGCCCUGGAGAAAUCAAUCACCAUCGGACCUCUCUCUCUCUCCCUUCCCUCCUUUGGUGGUGUUUUGUUUGUGCGCUCCGGUGAAGAUCCCAGUGGAGGAAGAGCUUCUUUUUUAGGGUUAGAGAGAGUAAACCCUUACUUAAGACGACUUCAGGACAGAGCAAAGUCUCAGAUCGUACCACCUGAAGCUUUUCAAGUCUGUUUGGUUUUUUCUUUGAAGGUAGCUGCUCAUCAAAUCAGUCCUUGGAGGAGGAGAACUAGUUCAUAGUCGAGCUACCCCCAUAUUAACUUCUAUUGGUCUGUCGACUGUUGCAUGCUUCUCUCCAUGAUGCCAGCUGAGGUCGUGGGCCAUAAAUAUAGAUCAUACUGAUCAACUAUGUUAAUCUCUUGCUAUCCUUACAGAGUGGACAAAGAGGUUUGACUGCUUAAGAGCCCAUCCGUGUGUAUCCACAGGACACCUAACAGAGGAAGACGGUGGAUGCCGAUUACAUAUUGAGAGAAAGUUCAUUUUGUUCUGUACGGCUCUAAAUUACAUAUGCUUGGAGAAGGUCCUGAGACAACCCCUGCAAAUUUCAUUUCAUACCAGCUGAAGCUCUAAAGGUACUCAUCAAAUCAGUCCUCGGAGGAGGAGAAUUAGUUCAGAGUUUCCACAGGAGUUACCCCCAAAUUAACUUCUAUUGGUCUGUCGACUGUUGCAUGCUUCUCUCCAUGAUGCCAGCGUAGGGUGGAAACAGAGGUUUGACUACAUGGGAGCCCUUCCAUUGUAUAUCCCAGGACACCUCAAGGAGAUUUUUGAUGCAGAACAUCCAAAGGAGAUGCUUCGAUUUAUCUAUUGUCAACAGAGCGAAGACGGUUGAUGGGGAUUACCCAUUGAGAGAAAGAGCGUUUCAUAUCGUACCAGCUGAAGCUUCUAAGAUACUCGGAAUCUUUGAUUGGUCUGGAACCAGCCCGUUGCUUCUUGAGAUCUGGUUGCUACCUUUUUUCCUUCCAAUCUACCAAGAUAUGUUCUUUAUAUACUUAUUUUGGAGAUUAUACCCUGUAGAUCAACUUGAAACUGCUAUAUACAUUUAUGUUUGUAGAUUUUUAUGGGACUCUCUUCACAUCUUUGUGGAGCCUUUCCUUGCAAGGUGGCCGUUCAACAAGCUUGUAAGAGAAAGGGCUCUUCGGGUGGCAAUGGAACACGUUAAUGAUGAGGACGCAAAUAGCCAUUACAUUUCCAGAAAUGUCUUGAAAAAGUUCUGUGCAUGAUUGCUUGUUGGAUUGAGAAACCGAAUGGAGAUCAGUUUAAGAAACAUCUUGCUAGAAUUCCGGACUUCAUGUGCAUAGCUGAAGACCGACUGAAAAUAGCUUUAAAAGUCAACUUUGGGAGACAGGGUUUUCGAUUCAAGCUUUACUUGCUAGUGGUCUUUGUCUCUCUCUCUCUCUCUCAGUUCAAUUGCAUCGGUUUGUUUUAGAAGCAAUUCCGACUUGUGGAUUUCUUCUUCUAGGGUUUGGUUUGUUUUGAAAGCAAAGUCUAUGAUCCGAUCAUCAUCGCUCGCUCCCACACUGCUUCUGAAUCUUCACUCCUCCUAGGGAAUGGGAUCAUUGUCUCUUGUUGCUUGCAUUAGUAGUGAUGCUAAAGAUGGAAUUGUCUAUUAUCAUAUAAUUUGAUAAUGAUGCAGCAGAGGACCGAGAGAGAGAUGUUCAUGUUAAAAUAUGGCUUGGAGACAACGCAGCAGGUCGCGCGUUCUCUCUUGAUUCCUAGUUUGCAGAAUGCUAACUGUCACUAAGAUCCCAAAUCAUGAGAGGCUAUAAAGAUUUCUUUACCUCCAGAAGCUUCUUAUCGACAACAGUCUUCCUGAUAUGUCGUCUCAGUCUGAUUUUGGAAACCAAUUAUUUGUUUUAAGGUUUCUGCUUAUGGAGCGACGUGGUUCUGGCGAAAGGUACAUUUGAUCAUUAUAAAAUGAUGACAAAGUCUCAGUCUGAUUUUGGAAACCAAUUAUUUGUUUUAAGCUUGCUUAUGGCCUGACGUGGUUACAUAUGGGGAAGAGUACAUUAUUUAAUCAUUACACCAUGAUGACAAGCUGAUUUCAUCAUCAAAGAGAGUGCCUCUUCUCACACCUGUUUGCGGAACAGCUUCUGUUGGCAAGUCCACUAAUAGCUAGUGGCUACACAACUUGGUCAGAGACUAAACUUGCCAAACGUCUUACAGACGGGCAUGGCAUAUGAGCUUCGUCGAACAGAAACUGAGUACGUUUUUUCUCCUUUUUAAUGAUGGACAUGCUAUGAGGAAGAUAUAUCCAAGCAUGUCGAGUUCCCUUUGGAGUUGGACUUUGCUUCCCUUACAUGAGCAAUAGUAACCAAGAUUCCCAAUUUCUACAAAAUACCAUCUUUCUGCCAUUGUGGAGCAUCUUGGGAAUAUAUAUACCAUCUUUUGCUCAUUACUCCUUUUAUGCGAGGUCAGCAUAAGGGCAGUCUGGUGCCAAAGAAGUCAACUUUCCCUUCUGGUACUAAAGCGCCUGCGGAUCAUGUUCACAGCAAGGGCCUUAAGCUCUGGAUUUACUCAGAUGCCGGCAGCACCAUUCCAGGUUCUUUAGGCCAUGAGGAGCAUGGUGCCAAAUACCUUUACAGAAUGGGUUGGGAGUGCACUUUCGGAUCCAUAUCUUCCAUCUGCAGCUGCAUUGAAUGGUUUAGCUGGGCCACUCCAUGGUUAGGUUAAUCAGGAAGGUCUGCUGCUGUGGAUCAGAUCAGUUGUCACAAUUGCCAAAAAUGUGUUUUGAAAGCAAGUUUGUUUUCUGAUCAUCGCUCCCCUGGCCUCUGAAUUCAUACUAGUGGAAUUUUUCAUCUAGGGUUGUUUUACAUAUGCUUGGAGAAGGUCCUGAGACAAUCCACCCUUACAAAUUUCAUAUCGUACUAGGAGCAAUACUUGGGUUCACUCCUACGAGUGAACCUUUUCAUUCACCCCUUUAUAAAAUAAGGAAAUAAAAUUUGUAUAUAUUAUUAUAAAAUUAAAAACUUAAACUGUUCUUUAAUAAAUCCA